rnacentral:lncRNA from 1 species
AUGUUUCUAAGCUUUUAUGACUGUGACUGGUUAAGCAAUGCUACAGAGGAGAAGAGUGAAAAUGUGCUUUGGGGUAAGUGGAAGCUUUCUCUUCAUGACUUGGGGGAGCAUUUAUUUCCUGUGAAUGCUCAGAAAUCUGACAGUAAGUUUCCCAAACCUGAAGGAAGACAGAGGACACAUCCAAGACAAGCAUUACGCUGGAAGAAGUUUUCAGGAUCAUCUUGUUGGGCGUGCAGAGUCUGUAGUAGAGUUCUGGAAAGUGUGAAAUUCCUCAUCCCAUUCCCAUUCCUUUUCAUCACCUUAAUAAGUGAAUGUGUGGGUUACUGCAGUGCCAAUUAGUCUUUGUGUAAGAAGAGGAAAGAGUCUGAGAUAUGCCAGGAAGGGAAUGACUAGAAGGAAAAUAGAAGGAAAUAAAAGUGGGGGAAGAGAGUGUAGAGUGACA